rnacentral:lncRNA from 1 species
UUUUUUUUUUUUUGUCAUUAUGGCAGAACAUUUAAGUAAUUCAAAUGUCUUUAUAAAGUUGGCCUUUCUGUUAAGUCACCUUUAUUCCCUGGAGGCGGAAAAAGACCUGCAUUGUCACCAGCAGCAGGUGUUUCACAGGAGCCUAAAACAGAUGCCAGAAAGUCUUUCAGGCUGCAAAAAAAGUCUCAAGUGGGAAAGGGAGUUCUUUGCCCAAAAUUUGAUUGAUCUUUGAAGGGAGAGUGCUCAGAAGAGUGUUGGCUCUCUGACAGCAUGAAGCUCCAAAAAGUAUUGAAUUUUUUUAGGAAAACAGUGAUUUCUGUGUAUUGGGGCAAAGCAGCAGAGAGAAAAAUCUUUAAUCAGACAGAAUAUUGGGAACAACAACCCUGCUUGUGUGUCCACAGCACAGAAAUGAGACUCACAUAACCCACUCUAAUUUCAGAUGUGUGUGACAUACAAAUAACAUAAUAUGGUAAGGUACUGAAAAUCUUCUUAGCAAGGCUGGGCUGACCUCCUUGUUCAAACAUAAGAAGUAAUGCUGCAAGACCAGGAACAUUGGGAAAUAAUUUAGCUUUUAAUCAAAUUCAAAUUUUUCUGUUUCUAACAAGUGCAAAGGAAAAUGACACAAGCUAUACAGCACAAUAACAUCAGCUUGUAAACACAAAGAAGGCUGCUGUUAUUAUUUAUCAAAAUAUAUUUGUAAUAAUUUUUUCAAAGUAUAUGCAAGGGACCAUGCUGGGCAUUGUGUUCUUACUAAUACACCUGAACUUUCAGUCAGGAUACACUGAAAGUUCAGGCGUCUUCCUUGCAGGCCUGAUAUUUCUCUGUCUCCUUGCUUAAGGAAGCAAGGCUGUGUGCAAUGGAGAUGGGUGUUCAGGUUUCCACUGCCAGUGACCUUCACUGACUUGUUGGAUCCAAACCCUUUAAGUGAGGGCUUCUGAGGCAUGAUGUUCUGGCAGACUUUGGGAAAAACAGCAGCUGAGAGGAGACACACAAGCAUUAACACACAUACUCGGGGAGCAUUGAUCUGUUUUUCUUGGCCCCAGCCUGUAAACCUUCUGAGCAAGCUUCUGGCAAGGGAGCAGGAACUGACUGGGGCAUUGUGGUAGAAAGGGAAGAGCUGAGGUCUGAAGUCAGGGGAAGGAGAUCAACCAGAAUUUAGGAGAUUGCCAAGGAAAGGAAGUGCUUCAGGGCAGGCACAGGGCAAUAAGGUUAUGUGCACCGUGAGCAUAGGACAGGAGUUUUAAGGCAAUCAGGCUCCAGCCAUGUUGCUGUGCAAGGCACAAUGUGUGCUCAAAGUCUUCAGUGUCCAGGCAAGAGCUUCCUGUGGAACUGAGCAGACAUCUCUGGAGAGCUGUUUGGUGAUCCCAGAUAGCUUUGUUCCUCCUGAAAGCACCACCAAGUAUCUGAACACCCAACAAGAGGGGCCUUGGUGUGGGUACAAGCCAGACUUUUGACUUGAGUUUAUCAAUCACUCCCCUCACGAUCUGGAAGACACAAACAAACCCACAGACUUACACUUCCAUUCCCACACGUUUUAUUCACUUCCUAUACUGAGAUCACUCAAUAAUGACCCUGUGAAUGAUUAUUAGUUUCUCUACCACCAAUGAGUGAAGAUUUGGCAUGAGAAUCAAUAAUUCCUUGAAUUAAUAAUCAAUUUCAGCAAUAACUGAUGACUAAAAAGCCUGGCUGUGCAUGUUAAUUGCUUACUAUGUACCAAUGCAAAGGCAGGCUGCCAAAAUCCCAUUUGUGCCUCCCUGGAGCAUGGUGGUAGGGAAGAUUGUUCAGCACUUUGAGCCCAGGACAUGAGUGCCUUGCUUCUCAGUUAACCUCUGGUCACUCCCUAAACCUGCUCCCCUCUCCCAGACUGACACCGGUGUCACCACAGUCACCGAGAGCUGGGUUACAAAAUCUUCCAAGUGACUAAACAUUUGGACAGAUAUCUAAAGCCUGCACUUUCCAUCCUGUGCAGACAUUGUUGAAAUCCCACAAGCAGUUAAUCAUACCUGUUGGGGUCUAGUAAGUUUUCAAUCCUGACCCCUGGCCUUGAUGUGCCUCCCAUCUGUGGAUGGAGAUGGGAACAACCAUUUACAUGCACGCAGGGCUUCUGCAGAAUUGGCUGCACAGGCAGCACAUUGUGAGAUGCAGCUAAUUGAUGCUUUACUGCAAAAAACACCAACACAGCAUGUCUGGCUGUGGCACACGGUGAAGCUGCAGGCACUAAAAUAAAAAGAGAACAAUCUACUGCCCAUUUAAGUGGCAGCUGCUCCAGAUGACUGCAGUGCUGCCCAGCAAAUUACUGAGCAGGCAGAAGCGCAAUUCCCUGGACCAUGUGUUAAUCACCUGCAUCCAGAGGGUUAGAACUGAGAGACCCUGCAAUAAUGUGGUGCAGGAGCACAGGCUUUAGAUUGUGGCAUAAUAAAUCUCCCUGCCUGCAGUCUGGCACUGUUUCUUCACUAAAGUUAUACCAAAUUUCAGCAGCAAGAAUUGUAUGAGAAAGUAAGAAAACGGAACUGAAAAAGCAAGGUCGUGUCAGAAGACCAAGUGAAAAAGGCUGAAGAAACCAGACUCUACUUAGUUAACAGUGGGCAUAAAUAGAAUAACAGAGGCCAUCUGACAAAAGCACAAAAGUACAAAAACUGCCAAACAUUUGCACGCAUCAGAUGUUAAUGAUGAUCAAACCUCAUACAACACAUUCUGGAGAAGUCAAUGCCUUCACCCAGCAUAUGUCCACUCUCUGUGUUGAACUGCAAUUGUCUCCUCUGAGAUACUCAGCUUAAAAUUCUGAUGUGGUUGUACCAACAUUUAAAAGCAGGUAACAAGUACCAGUGACUAGUUUCUUGUGUCCCCUACAAAUUUUGUCAAGGUCGUCACAAGACUGCUUUAGUUUUGGUGGCCCUUCAGAGACAAUGCUUGCAUAUCUUAAAAACUGAUCAGGAUGUGUAUAAUUAGUCAAUAUGGCCUCUUCUACACAGAAAGCAAAUCUGUUUUACAGAAACAGUCAUCUCUGAGCAAGACACACAGCAGAUAUUAGCUGAAGAGAGCUCUGAGCUUUAAAAAUGUGGCUACUUAUUUCAGAGCUGAAGUACAAAGCCAUUUUCUCUCCCAGAUUAUAACAAUUCAGAUGGAGAUAGUUCACCAACUAGCAAGCCUGAAAUACCCAGCACAAUCAUUGUAUAUGCUCACACUGAAUCACACAGAAUGUCCUUGUGCAUAAAACUGCUUCUGUGUGUGUUUGGGGUGGUGGUGGCAACAGAGUGCUUUCUGACCCUGGCUUAACUAAUGAGCACCAGUCAACCUUCAGUCAACCCACAAUGAAGACAAGGUUCUUUAGUUUCACCCAAAUAUGAACUCAAUGAGACGGACAUAAUUCUGUUUUUUAGGGCAAGAGUCCCUGUGUUUACUUCAAUGAACCACCAAAGAGUCCUGUCUUGACUGUAAGUUUUCCUGAGACAGUUGAAAUGCACCAAUCACUGCAGAUAAAAAUUACCAAACACAUGAAAAGCCCACAACUUUUUUUUGUUUCUAUUUUUUUAAUAAAAAGUUAAUACCUACACAAAAUUAUUCAAGGGCUGAGACCAAUAUGUCAGUAGUGGAGAAACUCAAUACAGGUGCAGAGUAGGAAGUCAGUAAAUUCAGUGCUGCAAUGCAGCCACCAGCUGCAGAAGGGACAGCAGUAACACUCUCAGUGGAAGGGCAAUAAUGACCACCAGUGGUUUACUAAUAUAGUUUGGAUUCCCUGAAGAAAACUGAUUUCAGAGUUGUGCGACUGUUUGAUCACACCUGGCAAUACCAUGGCAGAGGUGACUGCAGUCUCAAGGGUAAAAACAAAGAGCCAUUUCCUGCCUAUCUAAAUCACAUCACCUUUCCAUUGCAGCAGCUUUAAAAAGAACAUCAGAACAAGGCAAGACUUAGUGCAUCUUAAAUCUGCUGCCUUUUACUAGGAAGAUCCCAAACUGGGUGUUAAAACUAAAUCUUUGGUCUUUCAGGAAUCACAGUUAAGUUGAAAACCAAUGGCAACUAAGAAGAAAACCAGCACUCAGAGCAUUCAAACAGUACAUACUGUUCAGUCACACAGAUGCCCAGCCAGUACUCCCAUAACUUCUUUUGCUACAAUUGACUUUCCCCUCUUUUAUUAAAUGAUGCUGAUAUAAAACCCAGAGGCACACAAAAAUAUACACAAGGAACUGUUAAAAACAAGAAGCAGUGUAUUGUGCCCCUCACUAGUCAGUCAGCAUGCCCAUUAAUUACUUAAAUGCUGCUUCCCUUAAUAUUUCCACAUGGCAUGGUAUCACUUUGGUAUUUGGGAACUCAUCCCCACUCAUCCCCUUUCACUAGACUUGGGGCUCAUCCAAGGCUGGGAGAUAUUCAUGUGACAGAUUAUAGGGUAGCAGAGACCAGCAAGAGAUCUUACCUUGGCAGCAACGUUGCUCUUGGUCUUCAAGUCAGUUCAUCUACUUCUGUGCUAAAUAUGCCUUGAGAAAAGCCAAGUGACAGCAGAGGGCAACCCUUUCUUUAGAGAGUUGGUUAGUGAAUGUCCCAAGGACCUUCCUCAGUCAUACUCCCACCAGGAUCAGUCCAGUCUCUGAGGUCCUGUUGGCAUUCUGUGUCUCUGCCCAGCAGUAAAAUAAGUCAUGGCUUUUACAGCUUUGGGAUUAUGGGCACUCUGUCAGCACCCACAAGGGAUCACACAGUUUGAGAGGUUACUACUAUCCAUACAAAAUUUCCCAGUAAAAUUAAGGUCAAGCUUUGAAGGGAAGAUCAUAUUUUCCAGAGGACAGGAGCAUAAAAGUGCAACACUGAUGCCUUUUGAUCUGAGGUCUCUUUGCUACUUGUGGUGAAUCCUUGCCAGAACAAGAGGUCUUCAGAGUAGAUUAGUCCUAGAACAUAUAUGACAAAGGCUUACCUAAGCUAAACAUACCCAAGUAUUUAUAUUAUGCUCACAGCCAGUCCAUGUGAUUUUACAGGCCUUCAUAUAAUUGAAUCACGCUUGCUCCUGAAGAGGCUGUUCUGUUUUUUAAUCUUAAUGGUUCAUGUUUUUGCCUGAAAGUUGCUCCUACGAAAACACAUACUCCAGAAGAUAAUCCCAUGGUGUCAGGUCACCUUCAGGGAAAGCUUUCCAUUUCCCCCUUAUCCUAUUAGUUGCGAGAUUAAUUUUUCAGGUUUCAAAGGAUAACACUACUCCACCAAGACCUGGCUGUUGCAGGAAGCCUGUGCUCGCUGGAGUGCAAUCCAGACACAGAGAAUCACAGAUUUGUUUAGCUUGGAAAAAAGCUCUAAAAUCAUUGAGUCAAACACAGCUGAUGUUAGUGACUGGAUAUGGGCUGAUCCUAGAACACCCAAACUGCCUUGCAAAGCCAGACAUGAUGUCCUGUGGUUGCAGUGAAAAAGGCUCAAUGUCCAAUUUUCUCCUCCUUGUUUUCCCCAGAUUUCUAUGCCCUCAAAACGGACUGAUCAGAAUCAAAGAAGAACUGAAAGAUUUGGGGAGUAGAAAAGGAAAGCCUCACUAAUCAAUAAAUUAAAAGGGAAAUCUUGUGAACUACUUCACCACAGAUGUUCUCCUAUUUUCCCAAGAGACUUGGUUCCGUCAUACAGCACACACGUUAUGGUACUCUCUCCACAGACAAUUUCAAAAAUUAAUAUCCACAUUUUCUGCUGCCCUGGGUGACAGCAUCAAUCAGGCCCUGUCUUACAAGUGCUGCUCAGUGCAGUUCAGGGAAUUCCUCCUUCUCUUCCUCCUCAUGUCAUCACUGAGAAUUCUGAAAAGGUGAAGGAUUAAGAAGACUGAGAAACAUCAAAUGGGCUAGGCUGUAUUUAUGGAUCUUAGUAAAUGAUGGUUUAAAAAUAACCGUGUAGGUUUUUCUGAUGCCUAAACGGCACCCAUUCCUUUUGCCUUGUAGAAAGUCUGACAUACUGUUUUCAUAAUCAAGUUAUUUGGAUAACACAACAGCAAUUUAGAUUAGGAUUUGUUUACACAGCUAAAUAUGUUGAGUAAUGAAAUUAAAAUGAGCUCUCUGCCUCUGUCACAUCUGCAAUAGUAACUGGCUUCGUAUGGCUGACUACAAACCUGCUGCACAGAUGUUUCUUGAUAAGGUAUAAAUCAGUGUUAGAUGCUGUUUAUUGCAGCAUUUUUACCACCUUCUUCCCUGAAGGAGGGAAUGUUGUCUGCACAGCAACCAGAUGCGACCUGCAAGACUGUAUGAAAUGCUAUCACAAGCCAAAACAGGUCCCAUAUUCCAUAUCAUCAUCUGCAAUGGCUCAUCAAGUAUUUAUCAGAUCAUUUGAACAUUUCUACAGGCCCUAGCACCAUACCACCACCAGAAUUUACUUAUUACAACCUGCAAUGAAAAAGGCAAGCAUCCUGUAAAGCAACUGGAGCCUCAGACAGCAGAAUUCCCAUUUUAGUUUGGUUUCCUGCCUUAAAGGUCAAAUUUCUGAGCAGACACUGCUGCUAGAUAGCAAGAUACUGUUAGAGAUCAAAACAGCUGCUUUUCAGGGCAUUGUAGGGAAGAGUUUCUAUUUACUGCCAUCCUGCCAUAGGUGAUAUCAACACUUUGAUGGUGACAGAGGAAGAGACUUAUCUUGCAUUGGUGUCUAUGCAAAGAUAAGUGAGAUGAGAGCUUCUCCCCUGGUGAAGGCGGCAGAGCUUGGAGCACCUCACUAAGCUCUGCUCAGCUCUGUGGGAGCAAGAGGAUCUAACAGGAAAAACUUGCCUAUGACCCAGCAUUUGUAGACAGCCAAGCCUGGCCCAAGCCACACUGGCUCCUUUUCUGUAACUGAAGGUAAGAGAGUCAAACUUCACAAGAAGUAUUUAUUGGAAGGUUUCUUGAAGCAAAAUCUGACAUCUCUUAUUAAAAAAAAAAAAAAAAAAAAAAAAAA